rnacentral:lncRNA from 1 species
GGCGCGGAGGGGGCGGGGCCAGUCGGGACCCCCCGAGCGCCGCCGCCAUGCCCGAGGCCAAGGCCGCUGCCAAAAAAGAGGCGAAAAAGGAGAAAAAAGAGAAAAAAGAAGAGAAAAAAGAGGAGAAAAAAGAGGAACAAAAUGAGGAGAAAAAAGACGAAAUUGGGCAAAAGGCGGCGGGGGAGGGGCCCGAGGAGCCCCCGAAAGAGCCCAAGGAUGAUUUGGAGGAGCUGAACCCCCCCGGACCCCCCGACCCGGACGGGCUGUUCCUGAGCCAG